rnacentral:rRNA from 1 species
GAUGAACGCUGACAGAAUGCUUAACACAUGCAAGUCUACUUGAUCCUUCGGGUGAUGGUGGCGGACGGGUGAGUAACGCGUAAAGAACUUGCCCUGCAGUCUGGGACAACAUUUGGAAACGAAUGCUAAUACCGGAUAUUAUGUGAGUUUCGCAUGAAAUUCAUAUGAAAGCUAUAUGCGCUGCAGGAGAGCUUUGCGUCCUAUUAGCUAGUUGGUGAGGUAACGGCUCACCAAGGCGGUGAUAGGUAGCCGGCCUGAGAGGGUGAACGCCCGCAAGGGGACUGAGACACGGCCCUUACUCCUACGGGAGGCAGCAGUGGGGAAUAUUGGACAAUGGACCAAAAGUCUGAUCCAGCAAUUCUGUGUGCUCGAUGAAGUUUUUCGGAAUGUAAAGUGCUUUCAGUUGGGACGAAGUAAGUGACGGUACCAACAGAAGAAGCGACGGCUAAAUACGUGCCAGCCGCCGCAGUAA